rnacentral:misc_RNA from 1 species
GAUGAAGAACGUAGCGAAAUGCGAUAAGUAAUGCGAAUUGCAGAAUUCCGUGAGUCAUCGAAUCUUUGAACGCACAUUGCGCCCUCUGGUAUUCCGGAGGGCAUGCCUGUUCGAGCGUCAUUUCAACCAUCAAGCCCCAGGCUUGUGUUGGAGCCCUGCGGCUGCCGCAGCCUCCCAAAACCAGUGGCGGGCUCGCUAUCACACCGAGUGCAGUAGUUUACUCUUCGCUCAGGGCGUGUGGCGGGUGCUAGCCGUAAAACCCCCAACUUCUCAAGGUUGACCUCGGAUCAGGUAGGAAUACCCGCUGAACUUAAGCAUAUCAAUAAGCGGAGGA